rnacentral:rRNA from 1 species
CAGCCGCCGCGGUAAUACGGAGGGAGCUAGCGUUGUUCGGAAUUACUGGGCGUAAAGCGCGCGUAGGCGGUUAUUCAAGUCAGAGGUGAAAGCCCGGGGCUCAACCCCGGAACUGCCUUUAAGACUGCAUCGCUUGAAUCAUGGAGAGGCGGGUGGAAUUCCGAGUGUAGAGGUGAAAUUCGUAGAUAUUCGGAAGAACACCAGUGGCGAAGGCGGCCCGCUGGACAUGUAUUGACGCUGAGGUGCGAAAGCGUGGGGAGCAAACAGGAUUAGAUACCCCCGUAGUCCCUGUCUCUUAUAC